UACGAAGGGGGCUAGCGUUGUUCGGAUUUACUGGGCGUAAAGCGCACGUAGGCGGAUCGUUAAGUCGGGGGGUGAAAUCCUGGAGCUCAACUCCAGAACUGCCUUUGAUACUGAGAAGCUUGAGUUCGGGAGAGGUGAGUGGAACUGCGAGUGUAGAGGUGAAAUUCGUAGAUAUUCGCAAGAACACCAGUGGCGAAGGCGGCUCACUGGCCCGAUACUGACGCUGAGGAGCGAAAGCGUGGGGAGCGAACAGGA
rnacentral:rRNA from 1 species